rnacentral:rRNA from 1 species
AGAGUUUGAUCCUGGCUCAGAUUGAACGCUGGCGGCAGGCUUAACACAUGCAAGUCGAGCGGAGAUGAGGUGCUUGCACCUUAUCUUAGCGGCGGACGGGUGAGUAAUGCUUAGGAAUCUGCCUAUUAGUGGGGGACAACAUUCCGAAAGGAAUGCUAAUACCGCAUACGUCCUACGGGAGAAAGCAGGGGAUCUUCGGACCUUGCGCUAAUAGAUGAGCCUAAGUCGGAUUAGCUAGUUGGUGGGGUAAAGGCCUACCAAGGCGACGAUCUGUAGCGGGUCUGAGAGGAUGAUCCGCCACACUGGGACUGAGACACGGCCCAGACUCCUACGGGAGGCAGCAGUGGGGAAUAUUGGACAAUGGGGGGAACCCUGAUCCAGCCAUGCCGCGUGUGUGAAGAAGGCCUUAUGGUUGUAAAGCACUUUAAGCGAGGAGGAGGCUACUGAGACUAAUACUCUUGGAUAGUGGACGUUACUCGCAGAAUAAGCACCGGCUAACUCUGUGCCAGCGGCCGCGGUAAUACAGAGGGUGCGAGCGUUAAUCGGAUUUACUGGGCGUAAAGCGUGCGUAGGCGGCUUUUUAAGUCGGAUGUGAAAUCCCCGAGCUUAACUUGGGAAUUGCAUUCGAUACUGGGAAGCUAGAGUAUGGGAGAGGAUGGUAGAAUUCCAGGUGUAGCGGUGAAAUGCGUAGAGAUCUGGAGGAAUACCGAUGGCGAAGGCAGCCAUCUGGCCUAAUACUGACGCUG